GGGUCCCCGGAAAUGACGAAGUUUCAUGUCGCUCUCUUCGCGCCUGGAUCCGCCCUGUCAAUCAAAGGUGGGCGUGUGCCUGGAGGAUGCCGCUGCCUCCUGAGGGCUUAGCGGUUGUGUCGCUUGCCGUGACGAGAUUUUAUCCCCCUGGAAGUCCUGACUGUUCCACAUCCCAUACCUCCUCCUCCCCUUGUCUCCAUGAGGAUGUCCCUACCCCCCACCCUACCAGACCUCUCCAUUCCCUGGGACCUCCAGUCUUUUGAAGGGGAUAUGGUGAACAUCUGUGUUCUCACAGCAUGACCCAGCAGGAGCAGCAGCCCUGGGAACUCUUGAACAGUGUAGACUCUGUGCUAUCCUAGACCUCCUGAGUCAGAGUCUGUACUGUGCUGUACAGUCCAGGUCACUCGUCAUUCUAAUGCACUCUAUAGCCUGAGAAACUGUAAAGUCAAAUGUAUGUAUGUAUGUAUGUAUGUACAUGUAUGUAUAUUAUAUUCAUAUAUAUAUAUAUUUUAUAUGUGAUUUAUUGUAUAUAUCAGUUUCCUUAAUCACACUAAAACUCCCCUUUUCUCCCCCUUGUUAUUUCAGUCCCCUCUUACAUGGCUCCCACACUUAUCCAUACUUCUGAAGUUUUCAAUAACCCAACCCAAAUAAGAUAAAGCACCCCAUGCAUAACAAAGAGAGUUGCUGAAGCCCUCUCUCCUUUCCCUGCCCAUCUGUGUGUUUUGUGACGUAUUUACAUUUCUGCUCUUUGACAGUCUUGUGUGUGUGUGUGUGUGUGUGUGUGUGUGUGUGUGUGUGUGUGUGUGUGAUCAAUCUUGGUCCUUCACCUCUCUGUUGCCCCUGUCCUCCUGGUGAUGCUCUUCUUUCCAGCAGCUCUCCCGCUCUCUCAUCUUCACUGUGUGUGCCCCUGAGUUUAAAUGGGGUUGACUGGGUGACCAUGAGUGGCAUCUUAUCUGAAGCAUGGGCAGCGUGUCAGUGCUACAUCAGUGAAGGCAGUGAGUCCCCUCCCGGCAGCCCCUGCUAACUCUUCAGGGAGCAGUGGGAGCUCAAGAGCCCUGCCCACCUCCAGGAUGCAUGGUGACAGGCAGUCUCAUGUGCUUCUUGUGCGGGUCACCUCUCUGGGAGUGACUUCAGGACUGCCAUCUUUCCAUUCCCUCUGUUCCUUGCCAGGGUAGGGUGAUUAUAGCCAUGCCCCAUUUAGAAACAUGCACCAUGUGUAUUUUAAAAGUCAAUCUACUUAACUGCACAUUUGAGAAAAGAAUAUAAGCCAGAAUAAGGAAAGACUACUCAGAUUACACAGGUAGAAAACAAUUUCUACACACAGAACUAAUAAUCAAACUAGACCUACCAGAUCUCUCACGUUUCUUCUGGUUAAUAUAUUCUCCAAUUCCAAAAUCUAGUUUUAAUAGAAUGGACUUGACUUUGCUGUAUAUUUUUUGUCCAAUAUCAUUACAUUUAAACAGUGGACACAAAAAAGCAAACAGUACUGAAAAAUAAAGAAGAAAAUAAUACAGGUAAAGUGUUCGUUCUGAAUGCUUACAUUUUAGUAUUUUACAAGAUAAUGUUUCGUUUAUCCCUUCAUCAAGUACACUCCUAAUUUUUAUUCUUACUCUGUGGUAAAAACAUACUUUACCACACACACACGCACACACACACACCAUAAAAACCUAUAACCACUGUCCCCGGCUAAAAUCUUACUUCUGUUUAACAUUGCUGUUUAUCAUGAGAACAUGAUUGCAUCUUAUUAACUUCUUGUCAAUGAUACUGGGAUGGUGUUUUGUGGGGUUGCUCUAGCUGGCCAUGCAGUUAAGCUCGGCACAAACAAGAUGGAGAAUACCUUGCUCCUAACUCCUUUGCCAGCACUUUUCUCACUUAUUUUCUACAUAAUGUGGAUCCAGUAACUACUGUAAGUUCUGUUUGGAAGACCGGAUGGAGCUUCAACCAUUUGCCAGGUGUACUGUGCAUCAGGAAUACAGAAGAAGGGAAGAGAGCCACGCUGGCUGUACUGUGCAUUCAGUGUUUGAUGUUUGGUUGUUGAUGGGUAAUGUCCUCUUUUAGUCAUAUUUAAAGCCCAGUGGAGUACAUGUAAAACUCAAAAGCCAAUGUAAAAAUGGAAAUGGGGGUUAGCAGAGAUAUUGCCCUGCUGAGAGCUAACAGCCAGAUCUUCGUAUAUUUUAGGAAAAGUAGAAUAUAUAAUGUGAAGAUCUUUUUAGAGUUAUAAUUCACAUAUAACAAAUUACAUGUAAUGUUACAACUUGAUAAGUUGUGACAUGUAAUCAACAAGAAUUCUUGGUACAAUCAUAACAGUAAACAGUUUACGGCUAGCAAGUUGCCUCAUGUCGGUAUUAAUCCUUUUUGCCUCUUGCCUCUCCCUGACCACACCCAACUCAUCCUUGGCAACCACUGAUCUACUUUUUGACUAUUCUGGAAUUAUAUAUAAAUAGAACUAUAUAGUACAAGCUGUGGCUUUUCCCAUUCAGCCUAAUUACUUUGGAAUUUAUCUAUAGUACUGCAUGCAUCAAUUUUUAGUGCUGGGUAAUAAUCCAUUAUAUGGAUAUAGCGCAGUUUAUCUGUCUCUGUAAGGCUCAUAUGAAUUGUAUCCCUUUGUGCUACUAAAACCAAACCUGCCAUGAACAUUUGUGUAUAACUAUUUGCAGAGAUGUAUCCAACUGUUUCUCUUGGGUAAAUAUCGAAUUGUGAGACAGCCAGCUAUACAAUAGACACAGACGUGCAGUUUUCUGAUGGCACCAUUCUACCUACCUACCCCUGAGAAUGAGGGCUGCUCUAUAUCAGUACUCUGUUUGAUGUGAUGUUCUUAAUUUAGGCCUUUCUGGCACAGAUACAGUGAUAUCUCAUUGUGAUUUUUACCUUUGGUUUCACAAAACAUGCACAAAGGCAAGA